CAGCAGCCGCGGUAACACGUAGGUGGCAAGCGUUGUCCGGAAUUAUUGGGCGUAAAGGGCUCGCAGGCGGUUUCUUAAGUCUGAUGUGAAAGCCCCCGGCUCAACCGGGGAGGGUCAUUGGAAACUGGGAAACUUGAGUGCAGAAGAGGAGAGUGGAAUUCCACGUGUAGCGGUGAAAUGCGUAGAGAUGUGGAGGAACACCAGUGGCGAAGGCGACUCUCUGGUCUGUAACUGACGCUGAGGAGCGAAAGCGUGGGGAGCGAACAGGAUUAGAUACCCCCGUAGUCCCUGUCUCUUAUAC
rnacentral:rRNA from 1 species